CAGGCAUCCUGUUCUUUCUUGUGAACAGUCUCCGUAGAGAUGAGAGGAAUCCACCCCUUGUUUUCUUCUGAUUGGCUACAGCAGUGGAUGAAACAAUGUGGCCAUCAGCGGUAGAGGUCGACAUUUUCUCAGAAGAGUGCUCCAGGCUGGUAGCAAUAGCAUCAACUUCAUGGACCGAAGCAUUGCCACUCUCGGUUGAAAACAUAGAAAUAGUGAUGACUAGUCUACUUCUCUUGGUUGAGACAUCAGCCACAUGGACCUCAGGUUGGUUGGAGUCUCUCAGUGUGGAAUCAUCACGAUCCUUCACUCUAGCGUCACUGCUGGACAGAACCUGAGACACUAGGCCUGCAGCAGACUGGAUCAGGUCAUUCUCCACGAUGGUAACACUGGUGGACAGAACCUGAGACACUAGGCCUGCAGCAGACUGGAUCAGGUCAUUCUCCACGAUGGAAACACUGGUGGACAGAACCUGAGACACUAGGCCUGCAGCAGACUGGAUCAGUUCAUUCUCCACGAUGGCAACACUGGUGGACAGAACCUGAGACACUAGGCCUGCAGCAGACUGGAUCAGGUUGUCUUCCUCGAUGGAAACACUGGUGGACAGAACCUGAGGAGUCUGCAGGAGUGUCAGUGGCUCCCACUCAUCCAGGAAGAAGCUCUCGACAGAAGGGAAGCUUCUUCCUUUCAGAGCUGGGGGAAUGUAGGGGGUGUACCCAACAGUCCAGAGUAGAGAGCUGUCGAUGGCAUUCACGUAGUGGUACUUGUCACCAAGUACCUCUGCAAAGCUCUGAACAAUGUUCUGACUCUCUGACUCUGGACCACCAAGGGCGUUGAGUUGGGUCACCGUUGACAUCCACCCUGAAAGAAACACCAACACAGGGUUAACUAAACUGAUUUCAGCAUUACAAGCAAGGGAUAUUCUUCAUAUUCUUCAUG
ensembl:lncRNA